rnacentral:rRNA from 1 species
UACGGGGGGAGCAAGCGUUGUUCGGAUUUACUGGGCGUAAAGGGCGCGUAGGCGGCGUGGUAAGUCACUUGUGAAAUCUCUGAGCUUAACUCAGAACGGCCAAGUGAUACUGCUGUGCUAGAGUGCAGAAGGGGCAAUCGGAAUUCUUGGUGUAGCGGUGAAAUGCGUAGAUAUCAGGAGGAACACCGGUGGCGAAGGCGGUUCUCUGGGGCAUGAUCUGACGGUGAGGAGCGAAAAGUGUGGGGAGCGAACAGG